UACGAAGGGUGCAAGCGUUACUCGGAAUUACUGGGCGUAAAGCGCGUGUAGGCUGUCUCGAAAGUCGGAUGUGAAAGCCCUGGGCUCAACCUAGGAAGUGCAUUCGAAACUUCGAGACUUGAGUCCUGGAGAGGAUCGCGGAAUUCUCGGUGUAGAGGUGAAAUUCGUAGAUAUCGAGAGGAACACCGGUGGCGAAGGCGGCGAUCUGGACAGUGACUGACGCUGAGACGCGAAAGCGUGGGGAGCAAACAGG
rnacentral:rRNA from 1 species